CAGGGCUGUGGUGAGAUGUUAAAAAGACCAAACAAGAGAGUGCUCUGCACUUCGUGAAAACUAGCCACCAGGAGGCUCCCACAAAUGCCCAAAUUUAGAAGCCAGCAACUGCGCU
rnacentral:lncRNA from 1 species